rnacentral:rRNA from 1 species
CAUCGAUGAAGAACGCAGCGAAAUGCGAUAACUAAUGUGAAUUGCAGAAUUCAGUGAAUCAUCGAGUCUUUGAACGCACAUUGCGCCCCCUGGUAUUCCGGGGGGCAUGCCUGUCCGAGCGUCAUUGCUGCCCUCAAGCACGGCUUGUGUGUUGGGCUCCGUCCCCCCGGGGACGGGUCCGAAAGGCAGCGGCGGCACCGAGUCCGGUCCUCGAGCGUAUGGGGCUUUGUCACCCGCUCUGUAGGCCCGGCCGGCGCCAGCCGACAACCAAUCAUCCUUUUCAGGUUGACCUCGGAUCAGGUAGGGAUACCCGCUGAACUUAAGCAUAUCAAUAAGCGGAGGAA